rnacentral:pre_miRNA from 1 species
ACAACAUUUGGACUGUUAGUGUACCGAGCAAUAUCACCCGCUCGGUGGAAAAUCUUCCCUUUGUCGA